AGAGGGGGCAAGCGUUGUUCGGAAUUACUGGGCGUAAAGGGCGCGUAGGCGGCCUUCUAAGUCGAACGUGAAAUCCCCGGGCUCAACCCGGGAACUGCGUCCGAUACUGGAAGGCUUGAAUCCGGGAGAGGGAUGCGGAAUUCCAGGUGUAGCGGUGAAAUGCGUAGAUAUCUGGAGGAACACCGGUGGCGAAGGCGGCAUCCUGGACCGGUAUUGACGCUGAGGCGCGAAAGCCAGGGGAGCAAACGGGAUUAGAUACCCCGGUAGUCCUGGCCCUAAACGAUGAAUGCUUGGUGUGGCGGGUAUCGAUCCCUGCCGUGCCGAAGCKRACGCAUUAAGCAUUCCGCCUGGGGAGUACGGUCGCAAGG
rnacentral:rRNA from 1 species